UCCAAACGAAAAAAGCCCAUG
rnacentral:piRNA from 1 species